rnacentral:rRNA from 1 species
UACGGAGGGGGCUAGCGUUGUUCGGAAUUACUGGGCGUAAAGCGCACGUAGGCGGCACUGUAAGUCAGGGGUGAAAUCCCGGAGCUCAACCUCGGAACUGCCUUCAAGACUGGAGAGCUGGAGGAUGAGAGAGGUGAGUGGAAUUCCGAGUGUAGAGGUGAAAUUCGUAGAUAUUCGGAAGAACACCAGUGGCGAAGGCGGCUCACUGGCGCAUUGCUGACGCUGAGGUGCGAAAGCGUGGGGAGCAAACAGG